CGAGGAGGAGGGGGCUGUGGGCAGAGAGGACAGAGGAGGAGGAUCUAGGGGAAGGGGCCAAUAAUUUGUUGGUUCUGUGCCACCCAUGCAGCAGCUGCUGGUUGUGGAAGAAGAAGGGGGUCAGGAGCAGGAGACAGGGCAGGCAGAGACAGAGAGAAGGAGGAAAGAGAAGAGCUGCAGAAGGUCCUGGGACCAGGAGAGCCUGCAGAGCUCUGGGAGAGGGUUGUGUCUGAGGAAUUCUCUGAGUCCCCCCCCCCAUUGUCUCUCUGUUCAAGAAGAGGCUUGAAGUGAAGGGAACAGCUUGAUCUGCUGUUGAGGUGGAGCCUCUGAGGGCUUGAGCGCACCACGUCAGCCAAUGGGGGUUGAGAAGGAAUGGGGGUGGAGCUAGGCUGUUGCUCCAACUGUCUGAGCUAGGGCCCAGGUCUGCAGUCAUGGGUUGUCUAGGCAACUAGUUAGUGGGGAAUAAUGCUGUGUAUAUUACUUGAACUUUAGGAGCUGAUGAAACUGAGUGCUUUGUCAAGAAAGAAUUAAUUCCCCAUAGCUUCAGACACCUCUCAAGACAUCAUCGCCAAACUCAACAUGAGGUUUCCUGAGGGCGACAGUAAUUCUCAACCUUCAGAUGCCAGCUGCCAUUUUGAAUCAAGAUGGUGGCCCAAAUAUGACUUUGGCAUGACUCUGCCCCCUUUUUGGCACGAAUCAUCACCAAACUUAGCACAAGGAUUCCCAAGGUGAGGGUGACAGAUGUCAUCAAUGUUUAGAUUCUGGGCACCAUUGUGAAUCAAGGUGGCAGACCAAACUGUGACUUUGGCAGGCCUUUGCCUGAUUUUUUGCACGACAGGUCCAAACUCACAAAAAAUUGCACUAUUUUAAAAUCACAAUAUAUUUUGUGCUGAAAAGGGUUUGGAGCUGCUGUAACUUUAUGCUGCCUUAAUUUAUACUGUCUUCCUUUAUGCCAGUGUAUUGUGCAUUGGGAUUUUCCCUAAGUGAACACCAUAUCUAGAACAAAUCCAUAUUUAGGCAUGCCUCAAUAACGUGUAACUAGUUGAGCAAGAAUGUGGAUGUGACAAUAUGCACAUCAGGAUGGAUAGCUUAUUCAAAGCAAUGCAGCAUGCACAGAAUGCAUCCUAAUCGUGAACACAGAUUCAAUUUCAAUUUGUUCUUGGAUAAACUUGUUUAUGCUGGUGGAUCUCCAAAGCUGGACAUUCUUUCAAAAAAAGAAAAAGAUUUUUGACUGUCUCUAUUUUGUAUUCAUUUAGGAGUUCAUUUUUCUCCAGUCCGAUACUGAAAUAGCUGAAUGGUAGAAUGUUUGAUGCUGGAAAUUCAUUUUUGGUUAUUUAAUUAUGGAUGCAAAGGCAUUGUUAGGGGAAGAAUAUUUUAUGUCAAGCUUUUAUAUGAUGACUAAAGGGCGGA
rnacentral:lncRNA from 1 species